CUCUUUUAUAACGCCUCUAAAAAAGACUGCACGAGAACGCCUUCUUCUCCUUCUACUACUGUUGCUUCGCCGCGCCCGAGCCACCGCCAUGGCUGAGGAGGACGACAGAGGCGCCGUGGCCUCGGAUGACCUCGCCCAGUUCCGGUCGCUGGUGCAUGCCGCGGACCGGAAGUUCGCCCGCGUCCGCGACCUGCCUCCCUGGGCCCGCGGGCCCCUACACGUCCUUCACUGCCGCAAGGCCUUCAAGGCCUAUACCCGACUCUGGCAGUUCCAGCAGCAGCGCCGUCGCGAGUUGCUCGCCGGUGGCCUCCGUCGAUGGGAGAUCGGCGACAUCGCCUCCCGGAUUGGGCAGCUCUACUACGGCCAGUAUCAGCGGACCAGCGAGGUCCGCUUCCUCCUAGAGGCCUACGUCUUCUACGAGGCGAUCGUGAGCAGAGGGUACUUCGAGGCGGCGAGGGCGGCUUCGGCGCCCGAUCUCAAUCUAAGGUACAAGGAGCUGAGGUUCUACGUGCGGUUCCUUAUCGUGGCGUUGCUGUUGAAUCGGACUGAUGAGGUCAGGCAGCUCGCCGACCGGUUUAGGGCUCUGGUGGAGGAGUCAAAGGCCGCCUUCCCGGCGACAAACUUUAAAGAAUGGAAGCAAGUGGCACAAGAAAUAUCCAGGUUUCUGAAAGCUGAUGCAUCUUCAAAAAUUUCCAGGCCUUUGAGGUACAAUGUCAUGUUUGAUGCCCAUCCAUCUUCCGUGCCGCAUAUUGCAAGAUUUCAUGCAAAUAGAGUGUUGAGACUGCAAGACGCUUUGCUGACAAGCUAUUGCCGAAAUGAGAUUAAGCUUGCAGAACUUACUCUGGACACUUUCAGAAUGCUACAAUGUUUGGAAUGGGAACCCAGUGGAUCCUCCUAUCAACUUCCUAAAAAAGAAUCGUGUGAAAAUGGUGCUUUUAGCGAUCAGAGUGGAACAUCUGGAUUGAUUGAUAUAAAUCUUGCUGCUGAUCUGAUGGAUCCAGAUUUGCCUCCAAACCCACGGAAAGCAGUUAUUUAUCACCCUUCCGUCUCACAUUUGCUUGCGGUAACUGCUACAAUAUGUGAAGAAUUGUCUUCAGACAGCAUUUUGCUAGUCUAUAUAUCAGCUUCAGGAAAGACAGACUGUAGUGUUGCUUCUCAAAAAGAUUUUCAUGGAAAGUCGUCAAAUUCCUCAAAAGCAAAUCAUGCUUCUCGGAAAAAGGACAGCUCACUGUCUCAACCUGCCGCUGAUGAUACACUAAAUUCAAAUACAAAUUUAAGGAGUUAUGUAUGCCUAGGUUCUCAAGGAACUGGAGGUUCAAACCUCUAUCCUGAAGAUUUGAUUCCAUUUACAAGAAAGCCACUUUUCCUUAUUAUUGACGGCGAAAAUAGCCAAUCAUUCAAGGCAGACUAUACAUGGUGCAGAAAGAGGAGAAACAUCUGCAUUGCUUCUUUCACAUGAGAAACUGUUAUCAGUAUCUGAUACUGGUCUGACAUCUAGUGGAAGCCAGUUUACUUAUUUCCUAACUGCCCCAUUACAGGCCUUUUACCAGUUAGUAGGCCUUUCUUCUGAUGUGGAAGACGAUGCAUACAGCAAUGCUGAGAGCCUGCUUUCUUCUGCUUUAGCUGAAUGGGAAGUUGCACUCUGUACAUCUUAUUCUCUUGAUCAGGUUUGGGCUCAAGUCUUAAGUGAUCCAUUUCUACGACGACUGAUUCUAAGGUUUAUAUUCUGCCGAGCUGUGAUUUCUCUCUUUUGUUCUUCUGGGGACAGUGCUGGCCAUCUACCUGAAUGCCUUCCUAACCUUCCUGAGUCCCUCUCUCCAGAGUCUGCUGUAACACAGAUCUAUAUCCAUCACCUCGCAGAAAGAUUAGGUGUCUCGAACCUUUUCCAAUUUCGAGAUUCCAUCAGGGAUUCUCUCCUGAGCAGAUAACUAGAAGAAUAAUGUAUGUAGAUAAAACCAUAGUAGACAGCACCCAACCAUUUGUUGAUUAUUUUGUGUUGAUACGCGGGAUCACAAACUCCUAUGUGGACUACAUAUUCGAGUGGAUCAACCAGAAAAUUUCUGGAAAUGUAUGAGGCUGCAGGUCAUUUUAGAUACCUUUAGAGAGGUUGUAAGAUAGUUUGCAUGUGUCAGCUUCUUGGCAGUGUAACAUCCCACUUGUUAUUGUCUUAUAACAUUGCAUACGGUCGAGAGUUCUUUGUAUUGUAUAACUAGUGAUCCAUGAAGAGUUGAUUUUUCAUCU